AUUGAACGCUGGCGGUAUGCUUAACACAUGCAAGUCGAACGGUAGCAGGCCUUCGGGCGCUGACGAGUGGCGGACGGGUGAGUAACGCGUAGGAAUCUGCCUCAUAGUGGGGGACAACGUGUGGAAACGCACGCUAAUACCGCAUACGCCCUACGGGGGAAAGCGGGGGACCUUCGGGCCUCGCGCUAUGAGAUGAGCCUGCGUUAGAUUAGCUAGUUGGUAGGGUAAAGGCCUACCAAGGCGACGAUCUAUAGCUGGUCUGAGAGGACGAUCAGCCACACUGGGGCUGAGACACGGCCCAGACUCCGACGGGGGGCAGCAGUGGGGAAUAUUGGACAAUGGGCGCAAGCCUGAUCCAGCAAUACCGCGUGUGUGAAGAAGGCCCUAGGGUUGUAAAGCACUUUCAAUAGGGAGGAAAACCUGUCGGUCAAUACCCGGCAGCUUGACAUUACCUAUACAAGAAGCACCGGCUAACUCCGUGCCAGCCGCCGCUGUAAGAC
rnacentral:rRNA from 1 species